GUGAGGAAUUUUCCGCAAUGGGCGCAAGCCUGACGGAGCGACGCCGCGUGAGGGAUGACGGCCUUCGGGUUGUAAACCUCUUUUAUUAGGGAAAAAGGUUGGCAUGCUAAUACCAUGUCAAUUUGAUGGUACCUGUUGAAUAAGCCCCGGCUAACUACGUGCCAGCAGCCGCGGUAAUACGUAGGGGGCGAGCGUUGUCCGGAGUUACUGGGCGUAAAGAGCGUGUAGGCGGUUGGAAAAGUCAGGUGUGAAAUUCUUCGGCUCAACCGGGGGACUGCGCCUGAAACUUUCCGACUGGAGUUCGGGAGGGGCAACUGGAAUUCCUGGUGUAACGGUGAAAUGUGUAGAUAUCAGGAGGAACACCCGUGGCGAAGGCGGGUUGCUGGACCGAAACUGACGCUGAGACGCGAAAGCGUGGGUAGCAAACAGGAUUAGAAACCCGGGUAGUCC
rnacentral:rRNA from 1 species